AUCGAAAAAAUAAAAGAUCAAUUACAAACCUUUCUUAUCCAUGUAAGGAGAAUUGAGGAGUUCAGAGUUUGUCAAGAUUUUGCAAGCCUAGCACUAAAAAUGGUUGAGCUCAACAGACAUAUGAUGUUCUCAUUGGUUUAUCGUCUAAUUGAGUUGGCAUUGCUACUACCAGUAGCGACCGCAUCGGUUGAAAGGGCUUUUUCAGCCAUGAAGAUAAUUAAAAUUGAGUUGCGGAACAAGAUGUCUGAUGGUUGGCUUAAUGACUUAAUGAUUGUGUAUAUUGAGAGGGAGAUAUUUAAAGGAAUUGAUCUUCAAUCUAUCAAAAAGGCAUUUCAAGUGAAGAAAGAUAGGAAUAUGAAAUUGCCGAAGCAUCCUAAACGCAACCGGACUGAACGCAACUAAUAAAUUUAUCGCUUAUUUUGGUCCCGUUGUUGAUUUGAUGUGUAAUCUACAUGUUUUUCUUCAUUUAAGAUACUUCUAAACGAUGGUCUUGUUGUGAACUUUUAUUUCCGUACAAUAUAUGAAUGUAGUCUAGAAAUGCACCG